AAUUGGGAAGAUAAAAAGAAGUAACAAUAACGAAAUAAAUAGAUCCUAUUAUAUAAAAAAAUGCAGUAUUUAUAAAAUCAUUUCUAUCAGAAAAUACGUAUGACAAUGCUAAAUUCUUUCACCAAAAAAAGAGAGCGAAAGGAGAAAUAUACAAGAACAUCCUGUCCACCUCCUAAAUGUCGUGGUGGAAAAACAAUGCUAAAUUCUUUCACCGAAAAAAGAGAGCGAAAGGAGAAAUAUACAAGAAUCAUUUGAAAGGUGGAGUUCAUCAGAUUGUAUCGUUUGAUGCUUUACCGACAUAUAUACGGUGUUCAUUGGACUGCGACCUUUUUUAGUGGAAAUGCGGCAGAUUUCUUAAAUAAUUUGCACAGUAAGGAAACCCACCUUAUCUGUUAUGGUUCGUUAGUAUCACUUUUGAUAUGUGCGUCCAGUUUUUUACGUAAUUCACCAAUACGUGUGGUCAGCUGGUUAAUGUUGUUUUUCAAUCGUUGUAUAAUCUAUAACGCAAGAGUGAAGUCUCCAGUGAAGUCAGGAAAGGCUAGUGUGAAAAGGAUAGAUAAUACAAAACAAUAAUAAUAUCUUACGCUUUCAUCACAAGCUCCACGCAGGCCUUUAUCUCCGAGGGCACCAGCAGGUCCUUUUGGUCCAACAUCCCCUGGAAAACCUUUCGAUCCAGAAGCUCCGGGUUCCCCUUGUCGACCGUGAAUUCCUUCAUGACCAUGAUCUCCUCUUAGACCCUUAAUAUUAAACCAGAAUUACGGUAAAAAAGAAUUAAAAGUGACUAUUGCCCCUGCGAAAAGUUAAAAAAAAACUUUCUUUCUAUAACUGACUGUUGACAUAAUGUUCAGUUAUAGCGAACUCUGCAUCUUAAAUUCUAUUUUGAUUAAACCGAUACAAGUUUUGUCCUUUGUGUUAAUUAGUGAUCACCUAAAUUCGUGACGCUUUGAAAUAAUAGCCUCUUAAUAGACAAAAAAGUAUAAUCAAUUACAACCUUCGCUGUACUAAAAUAUAUAAUAUGUAUAUAUCAAACCCGUUCGCCUUUAGCACCUUUCGUAGCAAUAAUGUUGUCGCUGGGAUCUCCUCUAGAGCCUCUAAAGCCUUGCUUACCGGAAUCUCCUUGUCUUCCCCUUGGUCCAACAUUACCUUUGAUUCCUUUAUAUUUCUAGCAGAAAAAUAUAUAAAUUGGUUAUCUAAACAUAUUAAGAACUGGUUUCCUACGGAAAAAUAUGACAAAAAUAUAACUUACUGCAAUUUCAUCGCAAUGUGGGCAAAAUACAUCGGCUCCAACUUUCCCUUUGCCGCCUUUAAUAACAAAGCCAGGCGGUCCAGUUGGACCGCGAUUACCUUUUUGUCCACGUUUUCCCUCUAACCCAGUAGGACCAAUAUCUCCAUGUUGACCUUUCGCACCUUUCUUGACCUAAAUGUAAUAAGAUGAAGUGACACAGGCUUAUAAAAGAGAUUAUUUUUCUUGGUAUUUCCAAUAAAAGAUGCUAUCUGCGGACUUUUACAUAACAAGCUAACAAUGUCUACAAAUGUCAUAUAAAUAACAUGCUGACAUCUGGCUGACACAGCAUAUAAUGACUUGUGUGAAAAUAUGAAUUUUUAACCACUAAAGACAAGCACUAGCUAUCAUGAGCAAUUUGAAAUAUACAAUUUGUUGAAACAACUUACCUCGUAAAAAUGAUGAUCGUCAUAAAGUGACUGAACAGCGACAAAAAAUGUCAAGCACACCGCAACUACUUUCUGCAUGAUUUUUAUUUCUCAAUAUCCUGUGUUUCUAUUAGUAGUCUACAAGAAAAACAACAACAAGUACUAUAGCGAACUAAAGAAUUAUAACAUUGGUCUGGAUAAUUCAUUCUUUUUUAAAUAGCAACAUCAAAGCUACACUGGGCUUAAAUAUAAGAAUAGACUUUGCCAAGCCAACCAAAAACUUUUAAAACUAAAAACACACCACAACAAACAAAAUAAGGACAAAUAGUAAACUAGCUGUCAACGUAUUCGUUAAAAUUACUCAUUAAGACUAUGUGGAAUUUAAACAAAUAGAUUUUUAAGAACCAAACAAAGAUAUCACCUACAAUUUGUAACGUUUCAAGAAAAUAACCUUUGUGUAAUACAAUGGGGGGUAGCACUGACGAAUAAAUAACAAACAUUGACAAAUAAAAAACAUACAAAGUAAUAAAAUUCCAUAAGGUACCAUCCAUUUAGUAAGUUUGCAAUCACUGAUUUUUUCGUUCCCUUUUUCUUUUUUGUGUGCAAUCGUGUACGUUGAAAAAGCUCCUCUUUGCUACCUCCCCCUACCAAUUUUUCCUCAUCUUUCUAUUGUUUUACUAUGGAUUUGAUGGCACUAUGUAGGCACUGCUUCUGAAGAAUAUUAGUAUAAUUUCUAUGCUUGCUCGCGCUUUAACAUAAUUGAAUUCUUCCCCACUUUCGUACACAAUAAAUAAGUGACCUAUAACCAAUGAGUGAGUUGGCAAGCAAGCAAGCAAGAAAAACAAACCAACAAACAAACCAGAAAACAAGUGUGAUUCUUUACGAAGAGCGGAUCAUGGAUACCAAUAAACUGGCACAAAUACACUUUGCAUUGCAUAUUUUAACGUUUUAACAUUAUAUAAGCCUCUAUUAAGCCUGUUUAAAGGUUUAAA